AUCAUUGAUCGGUAUGUGAGACUGCGAUGGGCUCUCCCAAGUAAGGAUAUGAGCUCUUUACUUGAGGUCUAUUGAGAGAUCAGACUGCCAUGGGCUCUCAUUUCUUAUCCAAGUCAUAACGCAACAUGACCAUAAUGUUUUGAUGAAAUGCAUUCCACCUGAUGCUUGGGUAUCACACUUGAUGAUAUUUGCCUAAAUGAAUCAUGCCACAUGCUAUGUAGCUGAUGCUUCUCUCAAGCAAUGAGUACGUCUGUUGUUGCUGAAGACCCUCUCAUAUUAUGCACUGGAGUUCCUCAUAGACAAUCUAUCCCUCUUGGUCUCUGCACAAUGGAUGAUCCAUUACGAGCUCAUUCUUGCACCACUCUUCUUGAGCACUAUGGUUUGAAGGCUAGGAUCUGUAAUCAGCGUCACGCCUUAAAAACCAAUCUAAUUUUAUACAGACCUCACAUGCCAAUAAAUGUGGAGGAAACAGCUCUUUGAUAGAGAAAGAUGUUGGCCACUGAUGAGGGAACCAAACGAAUUGGGUGUCUCAAGAAAUAUCUGCAGCUUGCACAUUGAUGAUGGCAGCACACACGAUAUCGCAACAGAAUAUGCUGAUGAUACAAGGAAACCAAAUGAAUUGGGGUGUCUAUAUCAACACCUGCAAUAUGCACCUGGUGAUGGAAGCACAGAAACUACAUUGCAAUGGUCUGCGUCGCAAAUUCUCAAAGGAAUUUGAUGCCAUGGCCAUGGCAGACAUAAUCUAGCAUUUAUUUUUAUUUUUUUUAACAGAGAUGCUAUUGCAUUUGUUGACUUUGCAUUAACAAAUGCACCUGUGAUAUUGUUUUGUAUAUGUGCACAUUUCCCCAUUUUCUCACU